AUUGAACGCUGGCGGCAGGCCUAACACAUGCAAGUCGAACGGUAACAGAAAGCAGCUUGCUGCUUUGCUGACGAGUGGCGGACGGGUGAGUAAUGUCUGGGAAACUGCCUGAUGGAGGGGGAUAACUACUGGAAACGGUAGCUAAUACCGCAUAACGUCGCAAGACCAAAGAGGGGGACCUUCGGGCCUCUUGCCAUCGGAUGUGCCCAGAUGGGAUUAGCUAGUAGGUGGGGUAACGGCUCACCUAGGCGACGAUCCCUAGCUGGUCUGAGAGGAUGACCAGCCACACUGGAUCUGAGACACGGUCCAGACUCCUACGGGAGGCAGCAGUGGGGAAUAUUGCACAAUGGGCGCAAGCCUGAUGCAGCCAUGCCGCGUGUAUGAAGAAGGCCUUCGGGUUGUAAAGUACUUUCAGCGGGGAGGAAGGGAGUAAAGUUAAUACCUUUGCUCAUUGACGUUACCCGCAGAAGAAGCACCGGCUAACUCCGUG
rnacentral:rRNA from 1 species